ensembl:lncRNA
GGGUUUUGUUUCUUUGUGCCAUUUAUUGUUUUAGUAUUGGGGUUAAAUACAUUUUGAUUUGGGGGGCGGAAGACAAACUUAGUCCUAGACUCUGCAGAGAGUAGGAAUGGAUCUGAUGGUGAAGCUUGGACAAACUCUGUAUUUGGAACAGAGAAAGGAACGCAGACAACAGAACAACAGAGUGAGGCUGAACCAGGGUUACCUAACAUUUAAAAUAAAAGGUCUGUUAGGAACGGAAUGUUCCGUUUGUUCUAGUGUUCGGGGGACACGUUUCAGAUACUAGAACCAUUCAUUCAGUAUGCAAGAGCUCUCUAGCUAACACUGAGCCCAUCAUUAGACCCACUACAACAAUCAGACUAUCUUUACUGAUGGCCUGUCCACGAAGCCUUGUGUGUGUCCGACACCAGGCAGCACGGUAUACAAGCCUCGUGUUGGCGGUGAAAGAGAGGGGAGGAAGUGGGAGACUGAUAGGAAUAGAGAAGAGAAAGUCAGUCAGUGACAAACGGUAUUUGUGUGAAUGUCUCAAAAGAGUUAAAACCAGAUUGUGGUGUUUUAUAGUUUACUAACCAGGCAUAAUGUGUGUCUACUGUCAGUGGGGCAGUCUUAGGCUGUGUCCCCCAAAUGAUACCCUAUUCCCUAUAUAGUGCACUACUUUUGACCAGCGUCCUAUGGACCCUGGUCAAAAGUAGUGCACUGAAUAGGGAAUAGGGCGUCAUUUUGGACGUAGUCUUUACAGUAGUAGUUGUGACUGGGCCCUAUGCCAUUUAAGGUGGGUAAAGUGAAAGUGGAGUUGAGGUAGAAGCCAGGGCUAGUGGAGGCAGAAGAGGAGAGGUCAGGGGACUCUCUAUCUCCAACACAUGGCAGUAGUACUGUACGCUGUGCUGCUGGGUUGAGGUAGAAGCCAGGGCUAGUGGAGGCAGAAGAGGAGAGGUCAGGGGACUCUCUAUCUCCAACACAUGGCAGUAGUACUGUACGCUGUGCUGCUGGGUUUGACCAACAAGUGACUUCCUCAUCACCAAUGCUGGUGGUUCAAGCCCAGUUAUUUCAUCAUCUGCUUAAUGCUGCCCCAGUCUCUUUAAUGAAACCACCUGUGGCUUUUAGUGCAGGUUUGUAGCUUGUUCUAAAGUAGCAGACAGUCUCACCACUCACAAUGCAGACAAAUAAAUAGUUGGUUCCAUCAUUAUUAGAUUUAUUCGACAUGAAUGUUUUAGUUUUUUGGUUGAUGUCCUUCUGGUCUUUUUGGAAACCUUACAAAAUGUUGUAAUGAUAGAUGAACAGUGUCCGUGUCUUUCUCGUUACCUGACAGUGUUGUAGACAGUAAAACUGGUCCAAUCUGUGGACAACAGAAUAGUUCAUUAAGCCCCAUAUCCUUUUCAAAGCAACUGUACAAAACCAUUACCUGGGGUGAAACAUGUUUAAAACUGUAGAAAAGUGAUUUUUAAUACACACUCAUCACCUUAACUACUGAUUAGCUUACAGGGACUGCUAGAUCUAUCGCCUUCUGCUUAGCGCUUCAGUCGUCUCUCCUCACUGUAAACAUGUCUGCUACGGGAAAUCACUUGAAAACAGAUGGUAGAUUCUCAAUCAUUUGUCUUUACAGAGUGACUAUGUUGUAUCCUGGAUAUUUAAAACCGUUUAAAAACAGUUGGUUUUCUUUGUAAAACGUUUUGUGGAUUGAACUUUUGUUCUUACUGGAGGCCCUCAGUACAGCAGUACGGUACUUACUGGAGGCCCUCAGUACAGCAGUACGGUACUUACUGGAGGCCCUCGGUACAGCAGUACAGUACUUACUGGAGGCCCUCAGUACAGCAGUACGGUACUUACUGGAGGCCCUCAGUACAGCAGUACGGUACUUACUGGAGGCCCUCAGUACAGCAGUACAGUACUUACUGGAGGCCCUCGGUACAGCAGUACAGUACUUACUGGAGGCCCUCGGUACAGCAGUACAGUACUUACUGGAGGCCCUCAGUACAGCAGUACAGUACUUACUGGAGGCCCUCAGUACAGCAGUACAGUACUUACUGGAGGCCCUCAGUACAGCAGUACAGUACUUACUGGAGGCCCU